GAGAAAGUGGGGGCAACUCCACGAGUAAAGCGGCGCACGGGUGAGUAAUACGUAGGUAACCUGCCUUCGAGACCGGGAUAACCUUCCGAAAGGAGGGCUAAUACCGGAUAAGACCACGAGGUUUCGGCCUUGAGGUCAAAGGUGGCCUCUGCAUGCAAGCUACUACUCGAAGAUGGGCCUGCGCACCAUUAGCUAGUUGGCGAGGUAACGGCUCACCAAGGCGAAGAUGGUUAGCUGGUCUGAGAGGAUGACCAGCCACACUGGGACUGAGACACGGCCCAGACUCCUACGGGAGGCAGCAGUGGGGAAUAUUGGACAAUGGGGGAAACCCUGAUCCAGCGACGCCGCGUGGGUGAUGAAGGCCUUCGGGUCGUAAAGCCCUGUCUGGGGGGACGAAUCCCCCGCCGGUGAAUAAUCGGCGGGAAUGACGGUACCCCCGAAGGAAGCACCGGCUAACUCUGUGCCAGCAGCCGCGGUAAGACAGAGGGUGCUAGCGUUGUUCGGAAUUACUGGGCGUAAAGGGCGCGUAGGCGGUCUGUUAAGUUCGGUGUGAAAGCCCUCGGCUCAACCGAGGAAGUGCGCCGGAUACUGGCAGACUUGAGUACCGGAGAGGAGGGUGGAAUUCCUGGUGUAGCGGUGAAAUGCGUAGAUAUCAGGAGGAACACCGGUGGCGAAGGCGGCCCUCUGGACGAGUACUGACGCUGAGGCGCGAAAGCGUGGGGAUCAAACAGGAUUAGAUACCCUGGUAGUCCACGCUGUAAACGAUGGGGACUAGGUGUGGGGGGGUAUUGACCCCUCCCGUGCCGACGCUAACGCAUUAAGUCCCCCGCCUGGGGAUUACGGCCGCAAGGUUAAAACUCAAAGGAAUUGACGG
rnacentral:rRNA from 1 species